ACUCAAAGGAAUAGACGGGGACUUGCACAAGCGGUGGAUCAUGCGGCUCAAUUCGAUGGUAAACGAAGAACCUCACCAGGGUUUGAAACCGAGACGAUUGCUUUGGGAAACCAGAGCGUCCGCAAGGCGGCUCGGCAGGUGAUGCAUGGUCGUCGUCAGUUCGUGGCUUGAGUUGUUCCCUUCAGUGGGGUAACGAACGCAACCCUCGUUGCCUGUUUUAUAUGUCAGGCGAGACUGCCCCCUCACGGGGGAGGAAGGUGAGGAUGACGCCAGAUCAGCAUGUCCCUCUGAUAUCCUGGGCUGCACGCAUGAUACAAUGCACGGUACAACGGGACGCAAUGCGGUAACGCGGAGCAAAUCCUUAGAAAACCGUGCCCAGUUCGGAUUGAGGUCUGCAACUCGACCUCAUGAAGCCGGAAUCGCUAGUAAUCGCGGGUCAGCUAUACCGCGGUGAAUACGUUCUCAAGUCUUGUACACACCGCCCGU
rnacentral:rRNA from 1 species